rnacentral:rRNA from 1 species
CAGUAGCCACGGUAAUACGGGGGGUGCAAGCGUUAUUCGGAUUGAUUGGGUGUAAAGGGUGUGCAGACGGCUUAUUAAGUCACUUGUUAAAUUCUUCGGCCUAACUGAAGGUCUGCAAGUGAUACUGAUGAGCUAGAGGGUGGAAGAGAGAAGUGGAAUUCUCGGAGUAGCGGUAAAAUGCGUAGAUCUCGAGAGGAACACCAAUGGCGAAGGCAGCUUCUUGGUCCAUUCCUGACGUUCAUACACGAAAGCGUGGGGAGCAAACAAGAUUAGAUACCCCCGUAGUCCCUGUCUCUUAUAA